GACGUAGGGCGCGAGCGUUGUCCGGAUUUAUUGGGCGUAAAGAGCUCGUAGGCGGUCUGUCGCGUCUGCUGUGAAAACUCGGGGCUUAACCCCGGGGCCUGCAGGUGGGUACGGGCAGACUAGAGUGCGGUAGGGGAGACUGGAAUUCCUGGUGUAGCGGUGAAAUGCGCAGAGUAUCAGGAGGAACACCGGUGGCGAAGGCGGGUCUCUGGGCCGUAACUGACGCUGAGGAGCGAAAGCGUGGGGAGCGAACAGG
rnacentral:rRNA from 1 species